rfam:Spinacia oleracea cultivar SynViroflay scaffold89528.con0020.1, whole genome shotgun sequence.
UCUUAUGACGGCUGUGCGCGGGAGACCUUCGGGUCUGCCGGUUUUCUCUACUGCCGGUUCGCCAACCUGCGUACAGCUGUCACCCAU